rnacentral:lncRNA from 1 species
CCCCCCUCCCCCGUCCCCGACCGCCGCGAGCGGGCAGGCGGCUGUGGCUCGGGGGACGUCAGGACGCAGGGAGGGCGGGGCGAACAAGCGGAGGCCGAGGGUGGGUGGAGUCGAAAGGAAGGGGAGGGGACAAGGGAAAGCCUGGCCGCUCUAGGACCGCGUUCGCCGGGGUAGUGUCAGUGGUUGUUCUGUUCCGCAAGCGCCCUCCUCCUUCCGCGGGCGGAGCGUUUGCCAGUCUGGAAGAUUCGAAAAGAUUUAAGUUACACAAAAUUACAAAAAGCAUUGAACAGCACAUGCUGUAUAAUCAUAAGGUAGCCCAGAAGAACUGUGCUGUCUUGCAGGUAAGAGCGCUGCAUAGCUAAGCGCCUUUAUUCCUUGGAAGAGCCUCCAACAUGUCUACCGUUGCUUCCACUUCUUUUUCUCCCUUUGCUUUCAGAGCCAUGGAGAUACUCACUCAGGUAUUUCUCACAUGAAUUUGGGAUUAAAUACAGGUAAAUACAGGUAGCUUAGUUCUGACAGACUGUGGGGUAUGAAAAAACAGAUUUCCGUUGCCUGAAAUCCUGUUGCUUAGCAUUGGUUGGUCUAUAGUAGGCCUGUUUAAUCAGUGGGGAUUUAUUGAGUCAGCUCCUUUGAUUCAAAUAUUUCUAUUCCAGUUAUGACUUGCUACAAGUCACACAUGGAGUAGAAACCUUUGAACUAAUGGAACCUAUGAAGGAGUUGACGCACCAAAUCCCCACUGGCUCAGUGGGCCUUCUCUUGCAAUAGGAUUUCAGCCACUCUUUCCUAUUUGUACAUAAUGCUUAUAAAAUUAUGUGCAUAUCUCUUGCAUCAUAAACAAUAGAUCGGAAAAAAUAUUUUACAAGAGAAAAAGGUGGGUUUUUUUUUCCAAAUGCCAUUCAGUAUAUUGCUAUGCUUUAUUACCAUAUUGAUAAUUAUGUACAAAACUUUUUAAUUGCCUCUUGGAGAUGCUUGGAAGCAUAUAAUAGAGCAGAUUGGAAGUAUCCCAGUCAAAGUUUAUUUUCUUGGCUCAUGUCAGUCUCUUGAAUAAACCAUGACUGCAUGAAGAAUAUAAUAGCA